AUUGAACGCUGGCGGCAGGCCUAACACAUGCAAGUCGAACGGUAACAGGAAGAAGCUUGCUUCUUUGCUGACGAGUGGCGGACGGGUGAGUAAUGUCUGGGAAACUGCCUGAUGGAGGGGGAUAACUACUGGAAACGGUAGCUAAUACCGCAUAACGUCGCAAGACCAAAGAGGGGGACCUUCGGGCCUCUUGCCCUCGGAUGUGCCCAGGUGGGAUUAGCUAGUAGGUGGGGUAACGGCUCACCUAGGCGACGAUCCCUAGCUGGUCUGAGAGGAUGACCAGCCACACUGGAACUGAGACACGGUCCAGACUCCUACGGGAGGCAGCAGUGGGGAAUAUUGCACAAUGGGCGCAAGCCUGAUGCAGCCAUGCCGCGUGUAUGAAGAAGGCCUUCGGGUUGUAAAGUACUUUCAGCGGGGAGGAAGGGAGUAAAGUUAAUACCUUGGCUCAUUGACGUUACCCGCAGAAGAAGCACCGGCUAACUCCGUG
rnacentral:rRNA from 1 species